GGGGGUUUAGCUCAGUGGUAGAGCACUUGCCUAGCAAGCGCAAGGCCCUGGGUUCGGUCCCCAGCUCUA
rnacentral:tRNA from 1 species